ACAUUGGUGGUUUAGUGGUAGAAUUCUCACCUGCCAUGUGGGAGACCUGGGUUUGAUUCCUGGCCAAUGUG
rnacentral:tRNA from 1 species